UCGGGGACGCGGUGACAGGUGCUGCAUGGCUGUCGUCAGCUCGUGUCGUGAGAUGUUGGGUUAAGUCCCGCAACGAGCGCAACCCUCGUCCUUAGUUGCCAUCAUUCAGUUGGGCACUCUAAGGAAACCGCCGGUGAUAAGCCGGAGGAAGGUGGGGAUGACGUCAAGUCCUCAUGGCCCUUACACGCUGGGCUACACACGUGCUACAAUGGCGGUGACAGUGGGCAGCAAACUCGCGAGGGUGAGCUAAUCUCCAAAAGCCGUCUCAGUUCGGAUUGUUCUCUGCAACUCGAGAGCAUGAAGGCGGAAUCGCUAGUAAUCGCGGAUCAGCAUGCCGCGGUGAAUACGUUCCCAGGCCUUGUACACACCGCCCGUCACACCAUGGGAGUUGGUUUCACCCGAAGGCAGUGCGCUAACCGCAAGGGGGCAGCUGACCACGGUGGGAUCAGCGACUGGGGUGAAGUCGUAACAAGGUAACC
rnacentral:rRNA from 1 species